rnacentral:tRNA from 1 species
GGAUGAUUAGCUCAGUUGGUAGAGCAGCUGACUCUUAAUCAGCGGGUCGCAGGUUCGAUCCCUGCAUCAUCCACGA